rnacentral:rRNA from 1 species
UACAGAGGGUGCGAGCGUUAAUCGGAGUUACUGGGCGUAAAGCGUGCGCAGGCGGUCUUGCAAGACAGAUGUGAAAUCCCCGGGCUUAACCUGGGAACUGCAUUUGUGACUGCAAGGCUGGAGUGCGGCAGAGGGGGAUGGAAUUCCGCGUGUAGCAGUGAAAUGCGUAGAUAUGCGGAGGAACACCGAUGGCGAAGGCAAUCCCCUGGGCCUGCACUGACGCUCAUGCACGAAAGCGUGGGGAGCAAACAGG